AUCGAUGAAGAACGCAGCGAAAUGCGAUAAGUAAUGUGAAUUGCAGAAUUCAGUGAAUCAUCGAAUCUUUGAACGCACAUUGCGCCCCUUGGUAUUCCGGGGGGCAUGCCUGUUCGAGCGUCAUUUCAACCCUCAAGCUCAGCUUGGUCUUGGGCCCUACCGGCAACGGUGGGCCUUAAAGUUAGUGGCGGUGCUAUUGAGCUCUACGCGUAGUAAUUAAACCCUCGCGAUUGAGUCUUGAUGGACGCUUGCCAUCAACCCCCAAUUUUCUAUGGUUGACCUCGGAUCAGGUAGGGAUACCCGCUGAACUUAAGCAUAUCAAUAAGCGGAGGAAAAGAAACCAACAGGGAUUACCUCAGUAACGGCGAGUGAAGCGGUAACAGCUCAAAUUUGAAAUCUGGCUCUUUCAGAGUCCGAGUUGUAAUUUGUAGAAGAUGCUUCGGGUGUGGCUCCGGUCUAAGUUCCUUGGAACAGGACGUCAUAGAGGGUGAGAAUCCCGUAUGUGACUGGCUGCCUCCGCCCAUGUGAAGCUCUUUCGACGAGUCGAGUUGUUUGGGAAUGCAGCUCAAAAUGGGUGGUAAAUUUCAUCUAAAGCUAAAUAUUGGCCAGAGACCGAUAGCGCACAAGUAGAGUGAUCGAAAGAUGAAAAGCACUUUGGAAAGAGAGUUAAACAGUACGUGAAAUUGUUGAAAGGGAAGCGCUUGCAAUCAGACUUGCACGUUGCCGAUCAUCCGGUGUUCUCACCGGUGCACUCGGUUGCGUUCAGGCCAGCAUCGGUUUGGGUGGUUGGAUAAAGGCCUUGGGAAUGUAGCUUCUUUCGGGGAGUGUUAUAGCCCUCGGUGCAAUGCAGCCUACCUGGACCGAGGACCGCGCUUCGGCUAGGAUGCUGGCGUAAUGGUUGUAAGCGACCCGUCUUGAAACACG
rnacentral:rRNA from 1 species